rnacentral:rRNA from 1 species
GAGUUUGAUCAUGGCUCAGAUUGAACGCUGGCGGAAUGCUUUACACAUGCAAGUCGAACGGCAGCACGGGUGCUUGCACCUGGUGGCGAGUGGCGAACGGGUGAGUAAUACAUAGGAACAUACCCAGUAAUGGGGGAUAACGCCGAGAAAUCGGUGCUAAUACCGCAUACGCCCUACGGGGGAAAGCGGGGGAUCUUCGGACCUCGCGUUAUUGGAUUGGCCUAUGUCUGAUUAGCUAGUUGGUGAGGUAAAGGCUCACCAAGGCUUCGAUCAGUAGCUGGUCUGAGAGGAUGAUCAGCCACACUGGAACUGAGACACGGUCCAGACUCCUACGGGAGGCAGCAGUGGGGAAUUUUGGACAAUGGGCGAAAGCCUGAUCCAGCCAUUCCGCGUGAGUGAAGAAGGCCUUCGGGUUGUAAAGCUCUUUCGGCAGGAACGAAAUGGUCACGGUUAAUAACUGUGACUUCUGACGGUACCUGAAGAAGAAGCACCGGCUAACUACGUGCCAGCAGCCGCGGUAAUACGUAGGGUGCGAGCGUUAAUCGGAAUUACUGGGCGUAAAGCGUGCGCAGGCGGUUUUGUAAGUCAGAUGUGAAAGCCCCGGGCUUAACCUGGGAAUGGCGUUUGAAACUACAAGGCUAGAGUG